rnacentral:rRNA from 1 species
UGCCAGCCGCCGCGGUAAUACGGAGGGGGUUAGCGUUGUUCGGAAUUACUGGGCGUAAAGCGCGCGUAGGCGGACUAUUAAGUCAGGCGUGAAAGCCCUCGGCUCAACCGAGGAAUUGCGUUUGAUACUACUUUGCUAGAGUCUCGGAGAGGUUGGCGGAAUUCCAGGUGUAGGAGUGAAAUCCGUAGAUAUCUGGAGGAACACCAGUGGCGAAGGCGGCCAACUGGACGAGUACUGACACUGAGGUACGAAAGCGUGGGUAGCAAACAGGAUUAGAUA